rnacentral:rRNA from 1 species
GACGAACGCUGGCGGCGUUCUUAACACAUGCAAGUCGAACGGGUCUGCCCUGUUUUUUGCGGGGUGGGUCAGUGGCGAACGGGUGAGUAACACGUGAGUAACCUGCCCCUCACUUCUGGAUAACCGCUUGAAAGGGUGGCUAAUACGGGGUGUUCUGGCUGUGCCGCAUGGUGUGGCUGGGAAAGAUUCACUUUUGUGGUGUUUUGGUGGGGGAUGGGCUCGCGGCCUAUCAGCUUGUUGGUGGGGUGAUGGCCUGCCAAGGCUUUGACGGGUAGCCGGCCUGAGAGGGUGGGCGGUCACACUGGGACUGAGAUACGGCCCAGACUCCUGCGGGAGGCAGCAGUGGGGGGUAUUGCACAAUGGGCGGAAGCCUGAUGCAGCGACGUCGCGUGAGGGAUGGAGGCCUUCGGGUUGUGAACCUCUUUCGCCGGUGAAGAAGGUCCUGCUCUUUGUGGUGGGGUUGACGGUAGCCGGGUUAUGAAGCGCCGGCUAACUACGUG